AGGAUGACAUCUACUUCGCCAUGCCUAGAGCUGAUCCGUGCUGGUUGCUGAGGAAAUACAUCAACUUUGCACUGUGAACACUUUGCCGUGGACAAAGUGGAGUCCAACCCAGGGUCGUCACAUAUGGUUGCCUGCCGGCCACUCCUUUGUCGAAUCCCCCGGCCGUGCCAUUCUCAAGCCCACCGGCCGCCGCUCACUCUAGGCUGCCAUCCGUUCCUCAGUUCCAACUUUGCAAGGACAGUCUGGCACUUAUGACUCACAGCCUCAUCACUCUCCAACGGAUGGAGGAGAAUCCAGACAGCGACAGGCAUUAUGAGAGGACCACUGAUGACCCCUCACCCUCUAGCCAGGGGACCAAACAGCAGAGUGAGGAGUCCCCCUUGGGUGAUCACGACCUACCUAUCAUGCAAUGGGAAGAUUUAAAUUUGCGAAUUGCAGAGUUAGAAAGGCAGGAAGAGGAAAGAAGGAAAAAAGCAGAGAGUCUGGGUUUAUCAGAGCGAGACCGAAUACUUGACAGAUGCUGGACAGAGUCAAAACACCCUUCACUUCACCGGGCGCCAGGGGCGGAUGAGAACGACUACAGUCCCUGCCGUGUCCCUGUCAUAACGUCACGGUUUAAUAGUCCUAAAAACCUUCAGCUGUGUUUCAUCAACAACAGUGAGAGUGAGGAGGAGGAUGACGAAGGAGCAUCUAGCAAAGAGCAAACCACCCACAGUAACAUGAGCAUAAGGAGAAAGAUUCUUAGCCUUAGUGAUCUGCAGACAUGCUCUUUACUGCAGCUGAAAGCGCUCAGGGCCUCGCUGAAUGAGGACAUUCAAGACUUGAGCUCAGAAUUGGUGAAACAUCUCGUAGUACGGGACCACCUUCAGACUAAGCAAGAUGCUUUGCUCCUGGAUGUACAGGAUAUGACAUCAUUAUGAACGAUUUUUGUUUUGAACACUGCGGAACUGCAGUUUAACGUUGGCACUUUCUCAAAGCAGUAAUUUACUGUUACUCAUCCUGUGGACUAACAAAGGCCAGAAUAUCCUGUUUAUUCUUGAAGAAAUGUAGCCCUCUCAGAAACUUUUGUUAAAAUGUGAGUCACAUUGAUUAUAGUCACAAGUUUUAUUGUGGAAAAAAGUGCCUUAUAACGAACCCUAAUGACUCUGAUUCAUAUGUCACUUACGGUUUAAUUUUGCUUUCAUAAAUAGAGAAUAUAUUAAGCUGCUGUCAAAGCCAUAUGUGAUAUAACUGUGAUGUAUUAAUCAUCAGUUAUGCUACUUUAAGCAUUCCAUUGAAAUACAUUAUAUGUAAUCGUCAUGAAAAUAUAAACGUGUGCAUUCUUAUGAAUGUGCCUUACAACUUUCUUGUGUAUCAAACUUAUACAUGAGACUGAAGUAUAUCUCAGUGCUAAAUAUUCACAAUUUAAUAAAUAAUUUGUUUUAUAUCUUAUACA
ensembl:lncRNA